UACAGAGGGUGCGAGCGUUGUCCGGAAUCACUGGGCGUAAAGGGCGCGUAGGUGGCGCGACAAGUCAGUGGUGAAAGUUCGACGCUCAACGUCGAAUCGGCCACUGAUACUGUUGGGCUCGAGCACUGUAGAGGCUAAUGGAAUUCCAGGUGUAGCGGUGAAAUGCGUAGAUAUCGGGAGGAACACCAGUGGCGAAGGCGACUUCCUGGCCUGUUCUUGACGCUGAGGCGCGAAAGCUAGGGGAGCAAACGGG
rnacentral:rRNA from 1 species